CAAAAUAAAAUAAAAUGAACAUCAUCCAUCUGACUAUAGCCACCACGCCCCAGCUGUCGACUGCUGUCACUGUUACCCAACGAGGCUGAUCCUUCCUUCAUGGUUGUGGCCACACUGAAGUUCCCAGUUACGCAAUCAAACCCCCAUCUAGAUGUGGCUGUGGAGGGGCACUGAAGCUGGCGUUUGUAUCUACCAUCGGUUUGACAUUAAGGAAAGGAGAUGAACCUCCAAACUGAGAACAUGGACUGAUACAGUCCCUUUGAGACUACAGCCCAUAAGGACGUCACGCUUCUCCGGCGUGCCCGCGGCCACCACUGUUCCCUCUCUCUCAUUCACCCUCUGCUUCUCCCCCUUCUGGGAAAAGCAGCGUUCCUGAGGGCAGAGGGAUAGAAGGUCUGGCCCUCCUUCCUCGCUCUGCCCGGGCUCCAGGUCACCUUCCCUCAGUGACUUCUACCUGUAAAGA